ensembl:lncRNA
UUUUUUUUUUUCUUGCCUGAAGUGAAUGAGAUGUUAAGCUUGUGAAAGUAUUGUAGGAGUCACUGAAAAUUACACUUUUCUGGAAAUAAGUAAGUCACAGAAACUUUCUGACAAGUGUGAUGAGGUGAGAUGAGAUGAAACACCCACACAUUUUUCAAAGAAAAUAUUAUUACUACAAAUAGUCUUUUAGCUAUGGACUUUUACAUUAACUAUUGUAAACUACGGCAUGACUGUUGUGUCAUGCUGAUAUAGCUAGCAAUCAUAUUAUUUACAUAAGCUAACUUCUUUUUCUUCCAAAAUUAUUUAAAAACCCUAAGAUUUCCACCUGCUUUGUACUGUGUUCCACUGAAAAUCUUCCUAGAAGAAGUAACUUUUUAAAUGCCAUUUAUUCUAAGAGUCUCAUAUAAGAAUUCUUACCAACUUAGAAAUUUCUCACUUCUGACCUAAUGUGCAUAUUGGAAACAUCACGUUUAUUUUGUCAGAGGUCUUUUUAUCAUUUGUUGCAUAGGCAGCCAAGGUUCCUGCAUGCCACUAGCUUUAUAGAUAAUAUUCAGUAUUUUCAUUGUAAUUCUCUGGUCGUAGUCAUUCAUUUACAAUGCUUACUUGGUCUGGACUAAUAAUCUUACAUAUCAUAUCCUACAGGCUGUCUGCUAGAAUUUGUGCCAGAAGUUGAAUUUCCAAUUAAUUAGCAAAAAGGAUCAAGCUUCCUGAAGGCUUUGAGACCCCUACCCCAAAUCUUAUCUCACCAUUCCCACUUUCUUGAUUGUUGUGAAUUAUUUAUAUUAUUCCAAUGACCAUGUAAGUGUAAAUUCAGUUUUCAUCCCUCAUACUCAUUCCAUGACAGCUGCUAAUUCAUUUUGUCACAGCCAGAGUUUUUACCCCAUGCAGUUCAUUUUCUGUUUUCUGGAAAAUACAGUAGCAAAAGCUCACUGACAUUCCUUCUGUACAUAAGCACAAUUGUAUUAAUAUUUCAUCAAAAUUAUCAAUGCUCUGUGUAAAUACCAUAACAUAUUUCUUGUCAGCAUCCACAUCACAGUGAUUUUACUAAGUGCCUUAAUAUUUUUUGAGUCUAAGGAACAUACAUUUAGUAGUCAGUGCUCUAAGAAAAGGCUUGCACAUACAACUAACCCAGUUUCUGUAACUGAUUAGACAAUUCAGUUCCUCUUUUCAGGCAUACCAGUUCAAUCAGCGGGAAUCCAUAAGUAUGCCACUGGAAAUCUAAUCUCUCUUCAUCCAGUGCACUUAAGCGUCAUGGCAAAGCACUUUGCCCCACUGCAUGUUUCUGAAUGCUGCGGGUUUAUUUCUUUACGUGAAAACUGUUCCUAGAAGCCAGAGGUAAGCUUGAAAAACCCAUUGCUUGUUUUACUGUCUGUAAUUUCCAAACUAUUGUUCAGUUUCCACACAAUCGGAAGAACUACUUCUGAAUUUCUGAUUUCAUUCCCAGAAAAUGAUAAAAGAUUUGUGCGUAGGGCAGGGAAAUAAAGUUUGAAAAGUAAGACUGUACUGCUAACAGCUAACAAAAUAAGGUAUUCACAUCUAAGAUUACCACAGGUCAAGUGAAUAGUACAGACAUUAUAGAAACCAUCUUGAAAUGGAUGUGAAACAGCAAAAAAAAGGCCAUCCAAGAAGUAAGGACAUUCCUGACUUCCUUACUGUCUAAUUUUGCCCAUAGUGAACACAUAGCAGAGAAGGAUACAGUAGAUUCAGGGUACUGUUUUCAUGCACACUGAGACAAACGAAAGAGCAGAAAGUCUCUUUGUGUCACUUCUCCCUGAAGUUUGUCCCAUCUUCCUUUUCCUUACUACUUUUACUCCUUUCUCCUUUCCAAGCUAUGACAUGUUCCAAUCUAAAUGUUAGAAAGAAUAUGAAACAUGCUAUGCUUAAGUUUACUACAUCAUACGCAAACUAUUCAUCAUUAGUUCAACCCUACUCUGUUCAUACACUGACAAAAAAUCAUGGAUUUUCAACAGUACUUUCAGGGAGAUACACUAAGGUAAGCUGAAAUCAUAACUGAAGGACUUAGGAGUUCUGAUAGCUGAAAAACGUAACAUAAGCCAGCACUUUUCAUUUGCAGCCUGGAAUGCCAACUUUAUCCUAAGCUACAUCAAAAGAGAGUUGUUCAGUAGGAUGAGGGAAGUGAUCAUCCCUCUCGGAUCUGUCCCCAUGAGGACCCUGGAGUACUGUAUCCAGGUCUGGGGCCCCCAGCCCCAGAAAGACAUGGAACUUUUGGAGACUGUCCAGAGGAGGGCCUCGAGGAUGAUCACAGGUUGGAGCACCCCUCCUGUGAAGACAGGCCGAGGAAGCUGGGCUUGUUCAAACUGGAGAAGAGAAGGAUCUGGGGAGGACCUUACAGCCUUCCAGUAUUCAAAGGGAGAUUAUAAAUAGGAGAGAAAACAACUUUUUUUACAGGGGUAGAUAGUGAUAGGAUAGGGUGGAAGGAUUUUAAACUAGAGAUUUCAAUUAGAUAUCAGGGCAAUUUUUCCACGUGAAAGGGUGGUGAGGUGCUGGAACAGGCUGCCCAGAGAGGAUGUGGAUGCAUCAUAUCCAUGCUGGAAGUGUUCAAAGCUAGACUGGAUGGGGCCCUGGGGAAUCUGAUCUGGUGCCUGAUCGAGUGGUUGGCAACCCUGCCCAUGGCAGAGGGAUUUGAGCUGGAUAAUCUUUGAGGUCCCUUCCAGCUCAAACCAUUUUAUGAUUCUGUGAUUCUGUGAUCAGUAAGCACCUUCAUGCUGAGACACUGCAACUAUUAGUAAGAUCUCCCUUGUGAAAACACAUAGUUAUCUAACAUAUGCAAGCAGUAGAUAGGAAGAUCAUUCCCAGCAGCUCUCAGUUAACAAUGGGAAAGAAUAUGUGUGGAUUUUUGUGAAACAAUCUAAUGUAAACUCCAUCAAUGUAAUACCAUCACCUUUGUAUUUUUAGUGUGAAAAUUCAGGUAUUCUUUAUUCUGUUGAAGUACCCUCUUCUGUAUUGGUUCUUGCACAAUUGUCGUUUUUCAUUCCUGCAUAGCUGUUCCUGGCUUCACCUUAUUUCUCAUUGGAUUUUCUAAUCUCUCUUAAUUCUUCGGCUUUGAUUAGCUGAGCUCAAACUCACUGAGGUUCAGGUUAGACUUAGAAAGCUACAGUGUCAGAGGAGGGCUGAAAUUAAACAAAAUGUGUUUCUUCUUUCUUAAACUGCAAUGAGUGGAUGCUGUAUGAAUUAUUUAAUGGUCUUAUCAGCACUGUAUGAAUAUCAAUAAAAUAGAUAGACCUACAUCAAAACCCCAAAUACCCAAACUUCCCAGUUGGAGGGGUAAAGAAGUUUCAAAAUCAGUGCUACCAUUAGAGAUUGCAGACCAGACUAGGGUUAGAUCAUCUUAUUGAUUCGUUGACUUCUUGUAGUACCUGGAGUCAAAAGAAGAAUGAGCAUUUCAGAUUGCCUGUUCUCCAAAGAUCCUUGAGUUCAUCUCUGUUCAUAGUCUGUGUAAAAUCUGUUGAAAUUAUGCACCUAAAGCAUGUGAUAUGCCUUACUCAGUUUUAUGAGUGCUUUCUGCAAUGCCUUAGCAGGACACAGGAGCCCUGUCUUGUAACAGACUUCAUUGCUUUGAUUCUUUUACACUUUGGAACCAUGCUGACACCACUUUGAGAAAUAUACAAGUGUGGUACUUUUGGAAGGGUCUUUUACAUCAAGCUAAGAAAUUGCAUUUCAAGUCAGAAAGUUUCAUAAGGUUCCACCAUUGUUUCUAUCAUACUGAACUGUAGGCACAAAAUAGGAGCAUUAUUCUCACAAGCAGGAAUGAUAAUUGCUUUGUUAAAGGUCGCCCAGAUGGGACACAUAUUCAGAACUAUUUUAAAGUGUAGCAAGAGCUACAAUUAUCCUGCUUCUUCUCAAGAGAGCCUGAAGAUACAAAAAAAAAAAAGAAAAAAAAAAAAAA